GAUACAACCAAGGGGAAAAGUACUGGUCAGCAAAAAUUUGGAUUUUACUGCAAUGCAAUAUGAAAAUGUUGAUCCAAUUGUUUGUGUUGAUCCAGUGCACGUUGAGACACUAGCGCAUGUACAUGGUCAAACAGAAGAUCUUGAUUAUAUGGAAGAGGAAGAGGAACUUGGUUCAGAGGCUGAAGAUGGAAAUCCUGAUAUCGAAAUAAGUGAUGAAGAAUUUGAUUAAUUUUUUUUUUUACAUUUUAUGUUGAUUUUUAGUUCAUUUUUGAAUACAAUAGGUUACUUAUUUUAUUACAAAUCUACGUACCGAAGUUAAUUUAGGAACUUUCGAUCAUUAGAAGCGGCAUUCUGAAAGUAUAAGAUACCGCCAUAAAAAUUUGCCAAAAUCUCCGUUAAAUAAUUAGGCUUAUUUAUUGAUUAAAUAUUCUAUUAAGCCGUCAAAAACCCUACGGUUCUCCUUAAUAUAUACGUAACCUUACAACUAGCCGUCAUAAUUAUAGCACUAAAGUACUCUCUCACAGAAAUCCUCUCUAGUGGUGUUCCAAGAUGACUCGUCCACCAAUGACAUCAGGCGGGCGUUCUUAUGGGACAGGACCAACUACCCAACCCUCUGGUUCUCAAGCUGCUGGUGCCCAAAGACAUGUUGCAAACCAUGAACCAGUUGAGAAUAGGGAAGAAGUUGCACAUGUUCCUGUACAACGUGAUGUUCGUGUACUCCACCCAGCUAGACAAAAUGGAGCUAAAUGGUUCAAAAACAACACUGAAGUAUCAACUUGUGUUCGAAAGAUCAUUGAAGGUUGUUUUAGAGGACCAUGGUAUAGCUGGAAAAAAGUACCACCGUUUUAUAAAGAUGCUUGGUUUUCAACUUUUCAGGUGAGUUUGAAUGGUAUAUAAAUCUGAUGUAUUUUUUUUUUACAUAUGUUAAAUGAUAUCAUAUAUAUAACGUUUAUAUACUUAUCAAUUUGAUAUCAUAUAAUUUGUAGACUAAAUUUGAGUGGGAUGCCUCAAUUGAAAAUCUUGUUAAAGAAAACUUUGAUCAACUUGCCGCUACCCGUCUCAAAGGAAUGGUUAGUCUCGCAAAGUCAAAUGGAGAAAAACCUGAUUGGAUUUUGUCUGAUUACUGGAGGGUAAUGUCUGAGUAUUGGAGAACAUCAAAGGCCAAAGAUAAAAGUGAGAAAGCACGCGCUUCUCGUCUAACUAGACGUGAUGGCUUAGGGUACACAGACACAGAGCAGGCUCACGUUCUUAUGCCAAAGUUCAGGAUGUUUUGGUAAUAUUUAUGCAUUUUUUACUUUUUAAAACAUUUAUAUUUCAUUUUAAAAACUUGGUAGUUUACCUUACUUUGUUUGAUGUUAUGUUGUAGGAGUCAAACAAUGAUGACUCUUCUUUCAUUGCUGUGCUGAAAAAACACACCAGAAAUCUGAUGGAACUUAUGUUGAUGAAAGAGCUCGACUAAUUGCUGAGAAAUUUGAUGAAUGUGUUCAAGAACGCUUGUCUGAAAUGGAAAAUUCUAAUGGAGAGUAUUUGACGAUAGACAAUCUCACCCUUGAAGAGAAAAAUGAAAUCUAUUCUAAGAUUGUUGGAACAUCAAAACAAGGUCGUGUAUUUGGACUUGGGUCACUCCAAAGAGGUGUUUUAAUGCCUUUGGAGUCUUCGACGGGUUCUCCACUAGGUAAUGCAGAUGUGGGAACAAUAACUCAUCGAGUGGAAGAGCUUGAAGCUGAAUUGCAAAAGAGUCAUGAUGAGUACGAAGACCUUAAGAAACGAGUUGAAGCUGUGGAGGCUUUCUGCUUCAACACAAACUAGUUUGGCUUAUGGUGUUAUUUCUGGUUUUGGUUUGUGGUGUUAUUUUAUUGGUUUUUAGUUGCUUUAUUCACUUGCUAUUAUUUUUUUCAUUUAAAUUUCUGUUCAAGUUUAAACUAUAUUUAUAAUUUUUUAAUGUUAUGGAAUUUUUAUUUUCAAUAAUUUGUCUUUAUCAGAUUUUUUUUUUGGUAAAAUAAUUAUCAAAAGUACGUUGUAAUAUAGCUAAUAUUUACAGAAUAUUUAUAAAAAUAAAAAAUAUAUGGAUAUGAAUAUAAUUUCGUAAAAUUGUGACUAAUUUAAUAAAAGUAAUCACUACAAAUUUUACAUCUAAAUUAGUAGCUAAUUAAGAUGGAUUUGUGAUGUUAUUUUAGUGAAGAAUUGUGACGGAUUCGUGAUAAAAUAUAAGUAUGUAAUUAAGACUGAUUUGUGACAAACUGCCUCACAAUUUGAGUGACAAAACCAGACUGUUUAGUGACUACGUAUCGGUCCUCAGUUGUGACGGAACUGUUACUCAUUUUCAGUGACAAUACAUAUCAUAUCUGUG